rnacentral:rRNA from 1 species
GAUGAACGCUGGCGGCGUGCUUAACACAUGCAAGUCGAACGGAAAGGCUCCUGCUUGCAGGGGUACUCGAGUGGCGAACGGGUGAGUAACACGUGGGUGAUCUGCCCUGCACUUCGGGAUAAGCCUGGGAAACUGGGUCUAAUACCGGAUAGGACCACAUUUUGGAUGGUGUGGUGGAAAGUUUUUCGGUGUGGGAUGAGCUCGCGGCCUAUCAGCUUGUUGGUGGGGUAAUGGCCUACCAAGGCGUCGACGGGUAGCCGGCCUGAGAGGGCGUACGGCCACAUUGGGACUGAGAUACGGCCCAGACUCCUACGGGAGGCAGCAGUGGGGAAUAUUGCACAAUGGGCGCAAGCCUGAUGCAGCGACGCCGCGUGGGGGAUGACGGCCUUCGGGUUGUAAACUCCUUUCGCUAGGGACGAAGCGCAAGUGACGGUACCUGGAGAAGAAGCACCGGCUAACUACGUG